GUGUGUCCUAACUUGGUCAGAUGGAGCAUGAUAGCCUCGGAAUAGUAAGCGUUUCCUAAGAGGAAGGCACUUCCAGGAAUAGAGUUCCCUAAUACCAUGUAUUUAAUGGUGGUUACAUCAUUACUCAUGACGCUGCCUCAUCUACUGUGCAUCUGUACAUACUGGCUUCCAUUGAUUCUCUCAAAGUUGCUACUGUGCUUUGUUGAUGAUGACCACAAUCCCAGAUCUUACCUGGAGCCUGCAGAAAAAUGUGAAUGAUGAGCAACCUGGAGCUUAGAGAGGAUCGGUAACCUGAGCAGCACGGGCAAGCCGAGUGAGAAAACCAGCAUCCAAGCGCGGCUGUGCCCGACCCCCACGCCACGGCCGUUCCGCCCCACUGCGCCUCCCAGGCUUCCGAACUGCACUCAGUCUCGCUUCCCACUUCCCACACUGUUGAUUGACACUGUGAACAAGCU